rnacentral:pre_miRNA from 1 species
UUUAAGUGUAAUAGUAGAUUUUCGUAUCCAACAUUUGUUCGUUCAUAUUAUUUAAUUUUUUAUAAUUAGUAUUUCUAUUGUUAUUAGAUGAUAAAAUAUAAAUAACACUGUAUGUAAACUUUAUUUUUAAAAAUUUUUAAAUAAGAUAAAUGGUUAAAUGCUGAACACCAAGAUCACCACUACAUGGGGU